rnacentral:SRP_RNA from 1 species
GCCGGGCGUGGUGGUGCAUGCCUGUAAUCCCAGCUACCUGGGAGGCUGAGGCAGGAGAAUUGCUUAAAUCCAGGAGGUGGAGGCUGCAGUGAGCCAAGACGGUGCCACUGCACUCCAGCCUGGGCAUCAGAGCGAGACUCUGUCUCAG